UCAAAGCCGUUGAGCGGGAGGAGUAAGCAAUCGCCGCCUUAGCAGAGAGCCCGGGGCUGCUGGAAGCCGGGCAGGCUGGUUUGCUGAAAAUCACCCGGGAGGCGCCCGCUGAAAGUGUUUGCACCAGUAGGCCGGGACGGUGCCGUCGUUAAAGGCAUAACGAGUGAGCGGGAAAAGGCGCACUAUUGUGGUGGUGCUUAUUAAUAUGUUCCGUUUAUGAGGGUGGUACCGCGGGUAUAAUCCCGUCCCUUCG
rnacentral:ncRNA from 1 species